UUCUGGAUACCUCCUGAAGCAGUCGCUUGAGGCUGUUUUACAGUUAACUUUUUCUUUAAGAAGUAGAAGGACUAUAUUCUAAAAUAGCAAUAAAAAGUAGAGUAUAGUAAAUACAUAUACCAGAAAGGGUCAUUUAUCAUCAUCAAGUAUUAUGUAUCGUACAUAAUUGUGCUAUACAUUUUUUGUUUUGUUUUUGUCUUUUUGCUUUAUUAUUAUCUUUAAUUAACACACAAUCAUACAUGUUUGUGGAGUGCAGAGUAAUAUUUCAGUAGAUGUACACAAUGUAUGAUGAUAAAAUCUAGAUAAUUAGCGUAUUCAUCACCUCAAACAUUUAUCAUUUAUUUGUGUUGGGAACAUUCAAAAAUCUGCUCUUCCAGCUAUUUGAAAAUAUACAAUGAAAUGUUAAUGAUAGUCACCCUAGAGUGCUACCAUAUCUGCUAUACUUUUAUAUAACUGGCAAUGCAGUAGAUUUGUUUACCCCAGCAUCACCACAAACACAUGAAUAAUGCAUUGCACUAUGAUGUUACAAUGGCUAUGACAUCACUAAGUGAUAGGAAUUUUUUAGCUUCAUUAUAAUCUUAUGGGAACCACUGUUGUAUGUGUGAUCUAUUGUUGACUGAAAUGUCUUUUUACAGCAUAUGACCACAUAGAUAAUGGAUAUAAGUGAUACUGGUGAAUAUGAAGACAACAGGAAGGAAUUAAUGCAGGAGAAGAAAUCUUAGAGAACAACAUCAUUGAAAGGAUAGACCAUUAAAAGGAUCUUUGUUGAAGGAGCAAUCAGAGAUGUCAGAGGAAAUUUUUUAAAAGGUGUUGUCAUAGACACCAAUGGAAGAGAAGAGAAUUUCAAGAGGAAGAGAGUUCUAAGUAGUGUUUGUGGAAAAUGUUUCCAGGGAGCCAAGUUGCACUUAUUUGAUUUGGUAACUAGAGGGUUAAUAAUGCCCUCAGGAAAGAGUGGUUUUAGUAGAGUGGUGGGGUGUUAAUGACAUUAGUAAGGGUAAAAGAGUGAAUAAGGGAUAAAGAAGAACAGAGAAUUAUAGAAUAAUCUUUCGAGAACCUUAGCUGUGAAGGGAAGGAAAAAGAUGAAAUUCAUUCUGCAUUUUCGUUAAUAGCAAAAAUAGCCUCUGAGUAAAAACCAUUUUUGCAAUCCUUGGUGACCAGAGUGAAUUUGCCAGAUCAACAAAUGUUCGUACACCCUUCUUUGAUUCUCAUAAAAUGGAGUGGGUAACUCCAGACAGCCUUCAUGGAGAUAAGACCACUAGAUUGUUACCAGGUUCCAGCAAGCCCACAGGACCGAGAAGAAACUGCCUUCACCUCAACAGCAAUUGUUGAGGAAACUGAAUUGGACUAUUUCUCCACUGCAAGGCAAGACGAUACCAUGAACUGGAUCACUGCACUAAUAGGUCGAUGAGAAAAUGACUUUUUCCUGGAGAAAUACAUCUCUUGUAAAAGGGAUUUUUACUUCGGUUUUUGCAGCUACCAGGAGGAGAAAUGUCAGUCUGCCUAGUCCGACAAGGAAGAGUGAAGUUUUUGCCUAGAGAUCUCAUUAACGGAGAACAGACAGGAUACAACAUCAAGAGCGAAAGGGCAAAGUAAUGAGAGAGUACUGUGUACUUUUUCCUGUUUUUAUCGUAUACGACACUGAUACAACCUAUUUUAUUUAUACUCAUUUAUUGUCCUAAAACUUGGCAUGUCUUUGAAAAGUGAUGAGGUGUUCUUUAUUCACAUAUUUUAUAAACCUAUCCCACAAUUAUGAAAGGAGGUAGAAGAGAUAUUUAAAUUAAUUUGGUCGCUAUUCUUUAUUACUUUUAAUUUCUCCUAAAACUCAGCAAGCUGACUUUGAAGGGACCUUAGUGAAAAACAUUUUUUAAUUAAAAAAAUUCACAUCCAGAACUUUUGUGCUCAGCUGCCUUGAUCCUAGCGGUUCUGAUAGCUGCAAGUUCUUAUUCAGAAAUUCAGCCCUACAGAUCCCCCAGGGCUACAAGACAACAAGCAAAAACAGACUUCAGCUCUUGAAACUGUGUAAUGAAGCCCAUUCCAAGGGCUUCUCAUAGAUUUUCCAAAUAUAUUUAGUUAAUGCACAAACAUACACACACACACACACCCCUACUCCUUUGAACUAAAAACAUUUAAAGCCAGCAGUUCGCUUAUUUCUGAAAUGUAAACCUCCUUUUGAAUUUGUUUUUGGUCUAGCUCAUGAUAAGGUAUGCUGUGUAAUUAACUGAGUGAUUUGCUUUAAGAUUUGGGUGGGGUUCAGGUGCUGCACAGCAAAGGUUGGGAUUUUUAUGCAGCCCUCACGUGGCCUGGAGCUCUUGGCAACACAUUGUCUUUGGCCUCUGACUUGCCCCUCUUCCUUAUAAGCUACUUUGUUUUCUAUGAGGGUUUCUGCUUCUUUCUUGCUUCCUUCCUGGGCGUCUGCAGAUAUUUCUCCAUCUCAGAGAACCAAAGCCCCACCUUCAUUUAUUCAGCAUUCUCCACUUCCCAUCACUUGCACAGGAUUAGAGAUAUCAACUGCAGGCCACCACCUACCACCUGUGUUGACUUAAACAAAUUACUUAAUCUCUCUCCUCUUUCAUUUUUUUGUCUGUAAAAUGGGAAUAAUGCUAUUCCUCACAUAUUAUAGUUGAUUAAAUGAGGUAAUAAGUGUAAACUUCUCAGCACAAAGUCUAGUACACAUUAAUGGCUAGUAGCUUUUAUUUACAGUACCCAGAAAAGCAAGAGGCCUAUUUUUUUUUAAGUGUAUGAAGAUGUCUCCUGAUGCUGCUUAAUAGGACAGAUGUCAGUAAGCCAACCUCAGUCAUUUGCUGGGCUUGGGGGCAAGACUACAAAUGUGCACCCACUCCUGCUAUCUUUCCUCCUUCCACGGAGUCGCUCAUUUUAAGGAGCCUCAUUCAUACGAGUGUGUGAUAUCCUAGUCUGCACAUUGAAGUUGUGUCCAAGCCCACCCCCUUCCUGUUCUGCAGACAGCUGCUCCUUGGCUACACCUUAGUUCUAAAGAUGGGCCCUCCAGAGGACACACCCAGGGCAGAGCCUCUUGUGGACCUGGCCAUGGCUUGAGCCCUUGCAUUGGGAACCCAUGAUCUCGGGUCCCUGGAGUGUGGUAUAGAAGAGGAGAGUGGCCUGGACUUAGUACCUUGGAAUUCUUUUUCAUGGAGAGUCACGGCAAGUGGGUGGCCAGAGCCGAGUCCAUAGGACGGACCUUGAAUGUCUGGUGCUAAUCAUGUUUGCUGGUAGAAAGAACCAAGCUUUGGAGAGGGAGGCUUCUCCAUGCUCUGUCACUCUAGCCAGCCCGAGGCCCUUGUGUCCUGUUCAGUCACCAUGAUGCCAAACCUGUGAGUGUAGGAACCUGCUCGUCUCACAGAGGCCCUGACAGCUACCAGGAAGCCAAAGGGCGUCCUUUUUGGAUCAACCCCAAGGAAUGCAAAUUCCUGCAGAGCUCAGUGCUUGAUAUUACAGUGACUGUGCCCCCUUUCCUCGGCUCCCUCACCAGCUGCAGCACAGACUGUUCUCCUCCUCCCCUUUUCUGUGGUUUCUUUUCCUUGGCAUUUGCUGGGUGGACAUAGAAGUAAUACUGGGAGGAACUCAAAUACCAGGGAUCUGAGAAGAAUCUUAGGUACAGUUGGACAGAAAGGGAUGUGUUUGCUGUUAGUAACAUCAACUCUAGAAAUCCCAGUGAGGAAAUCCUUAAGGCCAGCACUGUCCCACUUCCUGCAGAAUUGAGUUUAUAACCCAUCAGCUCCUUUACAAUGUAUGAUUAUGUCUACAUUAGCAACUCUCCUUUUAUUGCUGAGAGUUGCAGCACCUGUAUGUUCUGCAUAUUGCUGCAAAGGAUUUGGGCUGAAGUGUUAACAACUUUAGCUCUUUAAGAAAUAGUUUGGUAAGAAAAACAGUUAUGAGGAAUAAUUCAAUAGCCAAAUACACAAUAAAGAUGAAGCAUAUGUGGUAGAUAGUAAAUCUUCCCCAGCAAAGGAAAUCAGUGCCUUCAAGUACAAGUUGUCAUUUAGAAUUUGGAAUCCGAACAGCAAUACCAUCCCAUGAGUACAAAGUAUUGAGUGCUAGAAAUAGAAGCUUUGCUUCCCUCUCUCCUGAGCAGAAAUAUUUUGCUCUGCUGUCCCCAAUAAUCCCCAGAUUCCAUGUGCACGGCCUAACUGACUGACACAGCCAAAGGCUUCAGAACCGGGUGAGUCUGGUCAAGAAUUCUUGUGUACAAGGUUAUGCACAGAACAAGAGAAGGGACCUCUUUCAGCGCUUUUGUGUUCUGUUUUUUUUUCUAAAAAAAAAAAAAAGAUAAAUCUGACUGACAUUCCAACUAGUGGGCCAUAAACAUGAGUUUCUUAUGAUAUUAACGGGGAUUUCUAUGGAUUGAAUGUUUGUGUCCACCCCCCUCAAAUUUGUAUGUUGAAAUUGAAUCUGUAAUGUAAUGGUAUUUGGAGAUGGGGUCUUCGGGAAAUGAUUGGUUUAUGAGGGUGGAGCCCUCAUGAAGGGAAUUAAUGCCCCUAUAAAAGGGAGCCCAGAGAGUUCUCUCAUUCUCUUUUCAUCAUGUGAGUCAAUGGUGUGCAACCUGUAAGAAAACCCUCACCAGAACCCAACUAUGCUGGCACCCUGAUCUUGGACUUCCAGCCUCCAGAAUCAGGAGAAAUCAAUUUCUGUUUCUGAGCCACCCACAUUAUGUUACUUUGUGGUAACAGUCUGAACCAAGAGGCAUGAUAUAAACAGUGCUCUGCAGUUUAAAAGUUUGAGAAAUGUUAAACUAAAAAUUAAUCUAAGAAUGUUUGUUUUAACUGCAGGAUAUCUCAGAGCGUUUAUUACACUCGAGUGCUAUAUUAUUUGAAAUGAGACUGUAAAAUAUGUUUUCUCAAAAUAGAAUGUACUGUAGAAAUUACUCAUAUAGGUCACUUUUUACGCCUUUGUCUUUUUUCCUAUCUUCUUUCCAGAUAAAUAUUUUAAAUAUCUAAGUUUAGAAAUGAUAUUUAAGACAUGAUAACUUAAAAUGUUCCAUGGGGGUGGACAAGUUGAUUCAUAAGUGUUGAAUUCCAAUAUUACCCAAAUCGUCCAUCUAAGGGGGAAAACAGGAAAAUAUUCUGCCAAGUUUCUCAUGGAAAAUCAGAUGUAGGGGAGCAAUUUCUGGCAUUGGAAUAUUCCUUGGCAUCUGUGUGGUUUAGGUACCACAUAACUUCACAGUCCCAGCAGGGACCACCCGGAGUUGAAAUCUCCAGGCCUCAUAGUAAGUCUGCCCCUGACAGCACUCCUUCAAUUCUCAGGAUCUCCUCUAAGAGACAAGGGGCUGAAAUAUGGGGGAAAUGGCAGUAAAGCAUUUAGGAAAACAUUCUCGUUCUUCCACAGUACUUAUAUUAUUUAUCCUUUUUCUUUUCUUUUCCUUUCUUCAUUUAGUUCCACAGAUGAACCAGUGGCCCCAGAAGCAUCAACUAACUUUGUGACAUUUGAAGGUUGUUUGCUUUCCUUAAUUCAAUUGACUUUCAUCCUUACUGAGGUAGUGGGUUUGACUCAAGGGAGAGGAAGCACUGAGAAAUAAGCUUUACACUUAAACAAAGAUGCUGGGAACUUCCAUGUGCAUUUCCUUACAUUUAAAAGAUGGAAGCUAUUUUGGACACAUCGUUUAGCUGUAAGGAGAGCAUUAUCAUGGAAUCUAUAAACAUGGUGAUCAUAGUUUCCAAAUCUCAAAUUGGGACACAUUCCCUGGCUAGAGGAUUGUUAUUCUUUCCGUGAGGUGACUUACUCUUUAUGAGGUGUACAUUAAUUUCAUUUAGCUAGUCAGUAAUGGAAGUGCCUUGGUUAGAGAAAAUAGAAUUUCAUAAAAUCAUAAGUGUACCAGAAAAUCUAACAUAGUGCUCAAUGUAUGUGAUUCAGUUCACACAAUGUUUAGCUUGCAAAAUCAUCCCUAAGAAUAUUUUUGGUGCCUUUUGUACUGUUUUAAAGGAUGAAUUCUUUGUAUUUCUCUUGUGAACCAAGGCUUAGUCUGCUCUACCACGUUUUUUUAAAGGAGGCUUUUAUCACUCAAUUUACAUCAGUGAGUGAAGCUGCAAGAUAUUUUUCCUCUUUCGGAACUGCGUUUUUCCACCCUGAGAUAUUACACAUAAGGCUCUAGAGUGUGACUAUGCCUCAGGGUCGUGGGACUUUCAUUGUCAACCCAAUCAUUCCAAAACUCAAAUCUCUGAGUUUCCUGUGUUAUUUAAUAACAUUUUCAAUUAGGCUGCAUCUAUCAAGGUCUGGUUUGCGUUUAGGUAAAUAGGUGAGCAUAAAUGCACACUUCCUAUCUAGGAUGGAUGGGAGAGUGUACGCCAUGGAAUAUUCCCUAUCAGGUUCCCAUAUUUGGGUAAGAGUUGGCUUGGAGUUGAAACACAAUAGGGUAGUUGGACCUGAAGAAAUAUAAGAAAGUUGGCAAAGCAGAUCUGUGGGUCACCUCACUCUCCCUCUUCUGGAUUCACCUUAUCCAGAGUAAAACCUGGGCUAUAAAUCCCUAAAAAUUGUACCACCACAAGAAAUUUUCUUUUUCCUUGCUUUUAAAAUGACUAUGAGCUCACUUCUUUAAGCCUUUCCAUUUUUACUUUGCUAAGGGAAGGUGCUGAGUCUGACAAUUUGGGAACUUUGAGUUUCUACUAUACUUCUUCCUAAACUCAUAACAGAAUGCUUAUCAGAGAAUUUCAGCAGGACCAGAUUUAUCCAAAACAUUCUCUUACUGGGAAAGACCAGAGACUCUGAUGUCUUAUCCAGUGGAGUGCUGGUAAAUGUUUAACAAUAUAGCCACCAUGAUUGAUUUAGUCUCCAGUGUGUCAUCACUGGAGAAAGAGUUGGGAAGGAGCUGGCUUCAGCAUCACUGAGUUUAUGCCCCUAGGACAUUGGUCUCCAAAUUUUAGUAUGAAUCACUAUUACUAUUAUUAAAAGUAGAAAAGUUGAUUCAGAAUCUCUGGGGCUGAGGCCAGAGCAUUUAGCAAGUUUCUCCAGGUGAUCCUGAUCCAGUAGUUUGAGUUCUUGUUCCCAUGUUUAUUCCCAUACAAGGCCAGUCUUGAAUAAACAGCAUUGCCAUUCCAGAUCAAGGACUCUAAAUACUUUUUCAUACCAUGAAAUUCACUAGGCUAUAAUUAAAAUAGACUAAAUUUACUAAGACAUAAUUAAAAUGGAUUCUAAUGUUCAAGCUGAAUGAUCACAGUAUUCACUUUUAUAUAAUAGUCUAUAUUCAGUUCAUUACUUCUCAUUAUCCUGAAUGUAAAAUGUGCUAUGGAAAGUCAAAUUCCAUAUAUUUUAGGAAUUAGACAAAAUCUUUAUGGAGCACAUAGCUCAUCUUAGAGUUGUAAGAAAUAUUUGUAUCCGAUUUUUUUUUGUAAAAAAAAAAAACAAGAUUCACAGGACAGCCUUCUUUGCUUCCCAUCAAUUUUCUUCCAAUAGGUUUGUGCCAAAUGUGUUGUGAACUUAAUGAUUUGUUUAUGACAAUAAAAUUUGAUAAAUAUA